rnacentral:rRNA from 1 species
UACAGAGGUCUCAAGCGUUGUUCGGAUUCAUUGGGCGUAAAGGGUGCGUAGGCGGCGAGGUAAGUCUGGUGUGAAAUCCUGGGGCUCAACCCCAGAAUUGCACUGGAUACUGCUUUGCUAGAGGACUGGAGAGGAGAUUGGAAUUCACGGUGUAGCAGUGAAAUGCGUAGAGAUCAUGAGGAAGACCAGUGGCGAAGGCGGGUCUCUGGACAGUUCCUGACACUGAGACACGAAGGCCAGGGGAGCAAACGGG